rnacentral:lncRNA from 1 species
GCCACGCAUUAAUGGAUAGCCAUUCCAAAAGAUAUCCAAAUCUUGUUAUCCUGAACUGCUCCCUACUCUGCGUCAUUUCAUCUUCAAUCCGGAGGUUCUCUCCAUCUCCCCUCUGGUUUUGUUACACUGUGGAUCAUCGUUUCCCCUCCCAGGUAUGUGUCUUCCCUUCCCACUAACGCUGCUUUUGCUAGAUUGUGGGCUUGAAUGUUCUUCGUUCUAUGGAUAAACUUGAAAAUAACUUCUUCUACCCUGAAUCUCCUGCUCUGUAUGUCAUAAAUAAUCGCACCAAGAACCGAUUUAUCCAUUUCCGUCCUCUGGCAUUUUUGUAUGACUGUUUUCGAAUCCCCUUCUAUCAUUACUUUUGUUAACUCCAUUUCUAUUACUAACUUCAUGGCGUCUAAUCCUGCGAGGGCUUCUGCUACGAACGGGGUGGGAAUAUCCUCAUGUAUAACUAUCUUUGAGGCUUUUAAGUCUCCCAUCUGGUCUCGAACGACUAUACCUGAGGCAAAUCUAGCAUUUCUUCUGCCAAAGGCUGCGUCAAACUGAGCUAUGAUGCCUUCUGUCGCCCCGGUAUAACUGAUUGCCCUUUUGGU